rfam:Nicotiana attenuata strain TT chromosome 7, whole genome shotgun sequence.
UCAGUUAUAAAAGAAGAAUCUAAAAUUGGAACGAUACCGAGAAGAUUAGCAUGGCCCCUCGCAAGGAUGCAGAAAUCAAGAAAUGGUUCAAAAAAGU